rnacentral:lncRNA from 10 species
CCUAUCACAGCACUCCCACUACCACAGUACAGCCUCAGGGAGGACAUUUUCUUUCUUUCUUUCUUUCUUUUUUUUUUUUUUGAAACCACCUCCUUGCUCUUGGCGCCCCUAUUGUCUCUGGCUACCUCCUUGUCCCACCACCUCCAGGCUGCAUCCCACCUUCCCUCUUGGCUACUGUAAUUGUAAAUAGCGACCUUUGGAAAACGUUAGCGGUGUAACAGUCCAGGAAACUGUUUUUUUUUGUUGUUGUUGUAUUGAUAUGAAAUGAGAUUCUAUUUUUGUCAAAGUAUAUUGUAAUAAUAAUGACUCAAACGGCCCGUACUGUACAGACGAGAUUCUUCUGCUGUUGUUCUUGCUCCCCUCCCCUCCUCUGAGUCCGCCCCUCCCUGCUGCCUCCUCAGUGGGGCAGUGGGCAAGGGGCCCAGGGGCAGCCGAAGCACGGGGUCCUGAGACCUCAGGCAGGAUUGGAGAUCAAACCAGAGGGGGCAGGCCCCCAGCCUGCUCUCUAGGAUCACCCCCCGCCCUAAGGGGCCUGGCCUGGGGUGACGUGGCCAGGCAGACUGUCUGCCCCACUCCUUCACACAAGCCCAGCUCCUCUGCCCAAGGGGUGCGGCGCCCCCUUGGGGUUUCCUCCCAGUUGGAGAGUAGAGUUAAGACAAGGCCCAGUUUUGUGUUAGCCGACCGUCUUUGCCCACCUCUAUGACCCAGCCUCUUGCAGUAUUCCCAUACUUGAUGCAGGGAAGGAACCAGAAGCAGAGGGGCCUCUACGCAGGUACACACGUGUACCUGAGUGUGUUCAUGAGGGCAUCUGGUGUUUAUGUGUCUGAGUGUAGCUUUGUAUUUAUGUGUGUGUGUGUGUGUAUGUCUGAUUGCACGGGUGUACUUUUGUAUUUAUGUGUGUGUGUGGUUGCACGGGUGUGCCUCUGUGUGUCUCUGACCCUGGCUGGGUGUGUGUGCAAAUCUGUGUGACUGGAGCUCUAGGGGCAUCUCUGUGUCUGAGUGUGCCUGGUGUGUGUUUACAAAGGGAGAGUUGGCUGCUCCAGCUCCACAGCCCUGGGACCCCAACUCCUGUCUUCCCUGCUCCUUUCCCUGUGUUCACCCUCAGCUCUGACACAUUGAACUGCAGUUGGGGGGAUUGGCAGUUAGCCCUCUGUGCUUCUCCCUGCAGCCCUACCUCUGCCAAGGUCUCUCCCUCCAGGGACCUCUGCUUCCACCCACAUAUGUCCACUUAGUCACCCACACUUGACACAGUUCCUGGAGUACCCUCUUCCCCCAACCCCAGACCUGCUUUCAGAGCAAAACUCAAGUCCCUCUUCCUCCGUGAAGCUUCUCCCUCAGCUGAGCAGUGAUCACUUACUCACUCUUAACCCCAAUCCGCUGACUGGGUGGGGACAGCACGUCCAGCCUUCCCACCUCUCCUGCAGGCUUCUAGACGGAGUUUCAAAAACUGAUGAGCCUCGAUCCAGGGCUUGAAAGAAGCCAGGGUGUAAUCUUGUUCAUGCAUGCGUCCCCAGAGCCUCGCCCAGUGCCUGGCACAUAGUAGGCACUCAAUAAAUGCUGAAUGGGUGAAUAGUUGAAUGAUAGGUGCUCAAUAAAUGAAUGAAUGGCCUUCCCUUCUCAGGCUAUUCCCACCAUUAGUCUGCCCACCUUUCUAGGCUGGGCUUGGCCACCAUUAAACACGGGGUGGGGGUGAGGGCCCCUGCAAUUCACGGUGCAAUAUUCACCAGUUUUGCCCUCUGCCUCAUAAAGGCAAACCUGGCUUUUGAUUACCAUGUGUGGAUGUUUCAGUGUCCUUUCUUCUCUGUCCCUGGGGAUGGGGUGGUCUGUGAAUAUGUGACAUUUCUGCAGUUCAGUAUCCGAAGGUUUCUCUUGGGGGUAGGGGCUCCUGGGCGGCCAGAUGAAUGGGUCCCUGGGAACCCAGACCUCAGAUGAGGACUUAAUGUCUUCUUCCUCUCAAGCCAAAUUCGCCUCCACCCACUCCCUCUGAAGAACUGGGCAU